GACAAUGGGCGCAAGCCUGAUCCAGCAAUGCCGCGUGCAGGAUGAAGGCCUUCGGGUUGUAAACUGCUUUUGUACGGAACGAAAAGCCCUGGGUUAAUACCCUGGGGUCAUGACGGUACCGUAAGAAUAAGCACCGGCUAACUACGUGCCAGCAGCCGCGGUAAUACGUAGGGUGCGAGCGUUAAUCGGAAUUACUGGGCGUAAAGCGUGCGCAGGCGGUUUUGUAAGACAGAGGUGAAAUCCCCGGGCUCAACCUGGGAACUGCCUUUGUGACUGCAAGGCUAGAGUACGGCAGAGGGGGAUGGAAUUCCGCGUGUAGCAGUGAAAUGCGUAGAUAUGCGGAGGAACACCGAUGGCGAAGGCAAUCCCCUGGGCCUGUACUGACGCUCAUGCACGAAAGCGUGGGGAGCAAACAGGAUUAGAUACCCUGGUAGUCCACGCCCUAAACGAUGUCAACUGGUUGUUGGGUCUUAACUGACUCAGUAACGAAGCUAACGCGUGAAGUUGACCGCCUGGGGAGUACGGCC
rnacentral:rRNA from 1 species